rnacentral:rRNA from 1 species
GACGUAGGGCGCGAGCGUUGUCCGGAUUUAUUGGGCGUAAAGAGCUCGUAGGUGGCUUGUCGCGUCGAAUGUGAAAUCUCGGGGCUCAACUCCGAGCUUGCAUUCGAUACGGGCAGGCUAGAGUUCGGUAGGGGAGACUGGAAUUCCUGGUGUAGCGGUGAAAAUGCGCAGAUAUCAGGAGGAACACCGGUGGCGAAGGCGGGUCUCUGGGCCGAUACUGACGCUGAGGAGCGAAAAGCGUGGGGGAGCGAACAGG